rnacentral:sRNA from 1 species
AUGCUCUUUAAUUGUGUUAAGUGCUGGCAGAUUCCGGGCCCAAACCCUAGCGGUCCGGACUUGAACCUCGAACUUCUAUCCCCACUGAAGUUCGAGGUUUUUUAUUGCAUGCGG